UAACUGUGUCCGUAGAAAAUUGUCGACUAGAGUAUAAAUAAACAUUUGAAACUAUUCGAUUGUCUCUAGGCACAGAUUUAGGAUCCGUAUGCGUAUCGUAAGCCCGUGGAUGUGCGCUCUGUAUAAUCUGCCUCUUUGCUUUCAUUUAUCUCUGGUAAACAAGCUUUAUGUACGUACUGUGAUGGUACGCAGAGUUGCCGUUAACUACUGUUAGAUGUCGCCAUCAUUGUCCGUUAGUACCAUCGAGCACCGCCCGAAUGACGUUACAAUGUAUGAAAAGCCCGUAAGAUGCGAUGCCUGUAUGUACCGUAUCGAAUCCUCGGUCUGUGACUAUGUAUGUAUACUGAACUGUGUGUUGAACUCAGCUGAACGGUGCGUACACAAUAUCGGCAUUUUAAAGAUGUAUUGUCCUUUUGUAAAAUGUACAAUCUGAAUCCCGUUGGGCGUUACGUGUCCACGAAUGUCCGUUAAAGUAAAGAUAACUCGUAUGGAAAACGUCGAUUACACUAAUUUCACAAGUCUGAUGAGUCGUGGUGUUUGGAGAUACGAUUCAAUUCACGAUCAGAUAUAUUGGAGGAAUACAGCGAAACUUACGUCGUGGAAACGGCCUUUUAGUUUAACCUAGAGUUUCGUAAAAUGGGACGUAGUCGUACACCUUCCCCGUCAAGAAGAAGAGAUCGAUCACGAGAUCGAGAUCGUGAAAGAGAACGCGAUAGAGAUCGAAGAAGAAGACGUUCCCGCGAAAGGAGAAGAAGAUCCGUAGAACGAGAUAGGGUGAAAUCGAGGGACAGAGAAAGAGAUCGUGAUCGUGAUCGGGAAAGGCAUAGGCGUUCAUACAGUAGAUCCAGAUCUAGAGAAAGAGAUAGACCGAAACCUAAACAAAAAGUCAACACGGCGGAACGACCCGUCAUCACAGAGGCUGAUCUUCAAGGGAAAACGCCUGAAGAACAGGAAAUGAUGAGAAUAAUGGGUUUUUGUGGUUUCGAUACUACAAAGGGUAAGAAGGUUGAAGGCAACGACAUGGGCGCCGUGCAUGUUAUUUUAAAAAGAAAAUACAGACAAUACAUGAACAGGAAAGGAGGAUUCAAUAGACCGUUGGAUUUUGUUGCAUAGAGGACCUAACCGCGUGUAUACAAGUUCACCGCAGAAGUAGCAGAAAUGGCAGAAAUAAACAGAUUACCUUCGCAAAGAGUUUAUCUUGAAAAAGUACAAAUCUUGGAAAAUAGAUAUUAAAGAUGCUCGAACUAUGGCAUCUUCUGCUUUCAAGCGCGACAGCAGCCAAGAAGCGUUACUCAAUUUCUCUUUUAUGCAAUCGUUCAACGUGGUAUAAAUCGGUUCGAAUGUUUCUUCACGAAAAAUCGCGUAUUCUUUGUCCGAUGUUAGUUGAUUCUGCGUUCGUGAAAACAAACGUAAGCGUUAACAGCCCCGAGAAAGAAAACAUCGAGUCGCAAACCGCUGUAAAAAAAAUAUUAAAAAGUACUGAUAGAUA